UCGACCGAUGAAGCCCUGCUUGCAGGGUGGAUUAGUGGCGAACGGGUGAGUAACACGUGAGUAACCUGCCCCUGACUGCGGGAUAAGCCCGGGAAACUGGGUCUAAUACCGCAUAUGACACUUGGCCGCAUGGUCUGAGUGUGGAAAGUUUUUCGGUUGGGGAUGGGCUCGCGGCCUAUCAGCUUGUUGGUGGGGUAAUGGCCUACCAAGGCGACGACGGGUAGCCGGCCUGAGAGGGCGACCGGCCACACUGGGACUGAGACACGGCCCAGACUCCUACGGGAGGCAGCAGUGGGGAAUAUUGCACAAUGGGGGAAACCCUGAUGCAGCGACGCCGCGUGAGGGAUGACGGCCUUCGGGUUGUAAACCUCUUUCAGUAGGGAAGAAGCCUUCGGGUGACGGUACCUGCAGAAGAAGUACCGGCUAACUACGUGCCAGCAGCCGCGGUAAUACGUAGGGUACAAGCGUUGUCCGGAAUUAUUGGGCGUAAAGAGCUCGUAGGCGGUUCGUCGCGUCUGCUGUGGAAACGCAAGGCUCAACCUUGCGCGUGCAGUGGGUACGGGCGGACUAGAGUGCAGUAGGGGAGUCUGGAAUUCCUGGUGUAGCGGUGAAAUGCGCAGAUAUCAGGAGGAACACCGGUGGCGAAAGCGGGACUCUGGCUGUAACUGACCUUGAGGAGCGAAAGCAUGGGGAGCGAACAGGAUUAGAUA
rnacentral:rRNA from 1 species